UGCCCCCUUUAUGAAAACAGAUGUCUGGUACUGGGGGUUGUGGCUCAUGUAUUCAUAAUUUCUCUGAUAGGGGUCUUAGGUUGCCUCUAAAGUACACUAUAGAAUCUCCUGUGAAAGAUGAAAAACAUUUUUCUGUGAGGUGGUAGAUGGUGCUCUGCUGUCCUUGUCCAUCUCCCCGAUGGACCCUAUAGUUCUGGUGUUGUUUUGCCUGUUUGUCAGUGGAUGUUUCUUUGGGUGUUAAGCUAUGACCCAGGAACACAGUUUCUGAGUCAGUGGCCGAGUCUUCUCUCUCAGCUAAUCCCCAGGUCAUAGGCUUGAGAGAAGAGAGCAUCUUUAAAGGAAGAUUUUCAAGUUCUUAAAUUUACCUUACUCUUGACUGAGAGCACAGAGUUGGCAAGGUGCUAAGCUGCUCUUAUAUCAUCUUCUCUGGAUACCAGAGUGACAAGGAAGGAGAAGGGGAAAAGGGAAAGAUGAUCCCAUGGUGUCCCCACUGAAGCCUUUCAAAGAAGUCUGAAGUCAUUGUAAAAGGAGCAAGACCAUUUGAAUUCUACAGAAGUUGCCUAGACCUCAGAGGUGGGUUUGGAGAUGCCUUUCUUGUUCCGACAACCAUAAAGAGUUUAGGUUCCAGGAUGUCUAAGGUAUAUCUAUAUAUUUCUGUUUGUGCAGCAUGAGACUACUUACAUACUCUUCUAUGCUGUUUGAUUGGAAUAGAUCUUUCCUGCUUCCCUGGGCUCUAUCAUGAAGAUUUACCCAGUCUUAUUGCACAGAUCUCUACCCAUUAAUGAGUAUGGAAAGUGGCUGGUAUGCUUUUAGCAUGUAGAUGCUUUUCUUCUUCUCAAGUAGCUUCACAUUUUAGCUUUCCGCCUUUAUCAUUUUCUUGGAAUUCAGGGCAAACUGAUAUAGUCCUGAAUUCAACUGAUGGAUCCUGACUAAACAACAUCAGUAUGUGCAAUUAUUGUUAUUGCAGCUGCUGCUGCUGUUGUUAUGGGCUGCCCAAUAGGACUGAAAGAAAGAAUGCAUAAAUUGUAUCCCUUACUUCAGGGAGAGGAUAGUGUCCUUCUGCUGGUGGUGCAGAAAGUUGCCUGACCUGACUAACUUUGAAACCCACAUUUUCUUUAACCUUCUGUUAAUCAUAUAUCAUACGAUUCUGUCAGAAUUCUAUGGGAUACUUUGUGUUUGGUUCUCAAUUAUUAAGUUACCUGUGUAGGACAGUAGAUUGUAGAAAAACUGGUGUCCUUGCUAUUUUUGGAUUAUUAGAGAUGGACUCACUAGCAUCAACUGAGGUGUGAAAUUACAUGCCUCAUUCUAUCCUGGGGAUCAAGGGCAACGGCUUCUCUCUGUGGCAAACAGCUGCAAGCUGAGGCAUGUCACCUCCCUUGCAUUUUACACAAUUUUCGACAAGCUAGUAUAGCUGCCUUCGGCUCAGGCAAAGGGAAGGACUGGCACGAUAAAGCCUCUUUGCCCAGAUGACCUGAGUUUGUGUUCAGGGUUGUGA